UUCAAGAGUCAAUUCGCCUGUAAACAGAACAUUACCUUAGGCUUGUUUAACUUCCAUUAUUGGGCUACAAUAACGUAUACUUUGACAUUUGUGGAACCUGGCCUGAGGAACCCGUCCGUAAAAACGCUUCUUGGUAGAGUGUGCGCAUAGAAUUACAUAUAACUUUAACGUACCUCUUAGGGGGUGGGGCGGUGGAUAUUUAGCUACUUUGGGUUGGGCUGCGCAACCAGGGGACUUUCCUCUUUCAGUUUACAGAAAGACACGUCUUUUGUGAGAAGCGAAGGAAAUAUAGAGGUCUGAUACAUGGAGAAAGGUGAAUAUCUACACUGUAAACUACCCCACACUGACACUGAGAUGGAUUCUCCCAGAGCCUCUGGACCAGAUCCCCUUGUUGCUACGGUGGACACUGGGCAGAUAACCAGUAAACCUAAAUGGUCACAGGUUAAAACCGAGGAUGGUGAAACGGAAUGGGAUUGUUUUCUGCAGGCGUACCUCACAAACCAAAAAUGCCAAGAUGGAGUGUUUGGGACUCUCUGGACAUUUGCAUCAAUAUGCCAGAGGAGGAGGACGCUGGGUUGGAUCUUUUUGAAGACGAACCACAUAAUUCUGAAUUGCUGUCGGACGUCGAGUGCGUCUCCAACAGUGUCUCCACUUCAGAGACAGGGACCAGUAGAGGGGACACAAGCCCUAAGACACAGAAGCACACAUGGGGUCCUGACCCCCAGUAUGGGAACUGCAGCACUAUAAGUCCAAUCGUGAAUGUGUGAAUAUAAAACCUUCCAGAGAACAUUGUGCAAGAACUGACCAACAACAGACUGACUCAAGUGAGUCAGUUGUUACCAAAAGCAGCCUUGUGAUUGUUGAACUGGACAAGCGGGUCAGAAUGGCUCCGGAGCAGUCAUGUGACCAAAGUCAAAGGAAUUGUACAGGUAGAUAUGACAAGGAUCCAUCUAUCAGAGAUAUGCCCCGGUGUUAUGUCCAGUGUGGGAAAAGACUAAGCAAGGCAGACAUUUUGAAAAUACAACAGCAAACUAGAAUGCGAGGGAGACACAAAUGUGACACCUGUGGGAAAACGUUCACCAAAUCCACUUACUUAAAACUACACAUCUUGACGCACACGGGAGAGAGGCCACACGGUUGUAAAUUCUGUGGGAAACGGUUCACCCAGUCAUCUCAUUUAAACACCCACAUGCGCAGACACACAGGACUGAAGCCAUUUUCAUGUCCUGUAUGUGGGCAAACAUUUAUCGACUCAAAAUCCUGCCAGAUCCACCAGCGAACGCACACAGGUGAAAAGCCGUACCCUUGUUCUCAAAGUGGCCAGGCCUUCAGUCAGACCGGCAACUUAAAAAAAACACAUGAUGGCCUUCCAUAGCACUGAUGGUGCAGGGAAACCUCACCGAUGCACCAUGUGCGACCGAGGCUUCAUGAGUCUUACAAAGUUAAAUGUUCACAAGCUCCUUCAUUCCGGACUGAAACCAUACUGCUGCUCCGAGUGCGGGAAAAGCUUCCGACUUCAAUCACAUCUGAAAGAUCACCAACGGGUUCACACAGUCGCCAAACCCUUCUCCUGCAAUGUAUGUGGCAGCAAGUUCUCCAACUACACCACCUGGUCCAGACACAAACAGAUCCACACGGGCAACAAACCGCAGGAAUGCUCGCAAUGCGGGCUGAGGUUCCGAUUUCUGGCCACCCUGAAGACGCACCAGCGAACUCACACCAAGGAGAAACCAUACACUUGCAGUUUACCCGACUGUGGUAAACGGUUCAGUCAUGCAUUGAGUUUGCAAAUACAUUUUCGUACUCAUACAGGAGAGAAACCAUUUGCUUGUUCCACAUGUGAUUACAGAGCCGCGGACAAAUCGUCGCUCAGAACCCACGAGAAGAGACACACUGGGGUGAAACCUUACUACUGUGAUGAGUGUGGGAAGUCCUUUUUAUUACCAUAUGAGCUUAAUAUCCAUCAGAGAAUCCACACAGGGGAGAAGCCAUACCAUUGUGACAUAUGCGGGAAAGAUUUCACCCAGCUAAGUAACAUGAAAACACAUCAGCAAACACACAUCAAGGAGAAGCCGUACGCUUGCAGUUUCCCUGACCGCAGUUAACAGUUCAGUCAAGACUUGAGUUUGGGAAGACAUGUUCCGACACACACGGAAGAGAAAUCGUUUGCGUGUUGAACGUGUGAUUGCAGAUCCGUGGACAAAUUGUCACUCAGAACCCAUGAGAAGAGACACGGGUGAAGCUUCACUACUGUGACGAGUGUUGGAAGUCCUUUUUUAAAUUUGAAGUGGAGCUGGAAGUCCAUCCGAGAAUCCACACAGUGGAGAAGCCAUACCAUUGUGACAUAUGCAGGAACUAUUUCGCCCAGCUAGGUAACAUUAAAGGGCAUCAGAAAACGCAUCAGAAAUAAAUGAAGUUUGUAUGCAGCAGGUGUAGCAGAGGGUUUGCUUUAAUGCAAUACUUUACAAGACACAAACAAAGCCACUCGUAAGAGUUUGUCAUAUUGAUGCUUGGGAGGACACGCCUGCCCAGUACGGAUGAUAGAAACAGCUGUUAUAAGCUGUUGAAUAAAGCUUUACAAUGUUAUAUAUUUUGUAUUUUGAUUGACAUGCUGAUCACUGGUAUUCCUUACCAUCACUGACUUGUCAUUCACAUAGUUGCCUAAAUUAAGUCAUUACAUUUUUCUUUAAAAUCUUUCCUUUAUAUAUUUUCUUGUCUCUAAAUAAAUAAAUACAAUUCUAAUCAAACUCCAA